AUAUCCAGGAGAAACAAGAAGGUUCUCCACAAGAACCCUAAACUCAUAAAAAUCCAACGAAUCAAAGGGAAAACAAGCUAGAAAUUUGGGGCUUUUACUAAAUUCGUGAUCAUCAAAACUAGGAGAUCACAAGGCACGGUGGUUGAAUCUUCAAGCGGUCAAGUCGGAGCGGACGCGCGCUUGAAGGAUAUGCUUUGAAAGGUGAUGUUGAUCAUGCUCCGGAUGACGAUCAAGCAGCAACACAAGAACCAAACACUAUCUUUUGAAGCUUCCGCGCUUGUCUAAUCUUGUUGAAAACAAUGUUUUAUGGUAUAAUCACUUAACUUGAUGUUUUGGGAUGUUAAAAUUAGUUGGUAGUUAACUUGAAUACGGUUGUUAUGUGAACUUACCUUUUGUUUAAUUUCAAGGAAGUGAAGUACUUGCUU